GGGUCUUCUAGGCCCGACCUCCCACCCUUUGUCUAUUGAACCCUUGUUGCUUCGGCGGGCCCGUCGUUAUACGGCCGCCGGAGGACCGACUCCAGGUCCUCUGGCCCGCGCCCGCCGGUAGCCAAAAUCACCAAACUCUUGAAUAAUCGUGUCUAUGAUGUCUGAGUACUUUUAUUAAAAUUAAGCAAAACUUUCAACAACGGAUCUCUUGGUUCUGGCAUCGAUGAAGAACGCAGCGAAAUGCGAUAAGUAAUGCGAAUUGCAGAAUUCCAGUGAGUCAUCGAAUCUUUGAACGCACAUUGCGCCCUUUGGUAUUCCGAAGGGCAUGCCUGUUCGAGCGUCAUUAUCACCCCUCAAGCCCUCCGGCUUGGUGUUGGACGGUCUGGUCGAGCUGCUCGACCCCUCCCAAAGACAAUGACGGCGGCCUGGUUGGACCCCCGGUACAUGGAGCUUCUUGAUUGAGCACGUAUCGGUUUCAAGGCGUCCCCGGGACCCGGUCUCACUCUCUCCCCUCGCGGGAGGGAACCCCCCUUUUUUCUAAGGUUGACCUCGGAUCAGUAGGAAUACCCGCUGAACUUAAGCAUAUCAAAAAGCGGAGGAAUUUAAGAGGUUAGGGUCCUCGCGACCUCCACCCUUUGACUAUUGAACUUGAUGCUUCGCGGGCCUCUUAUACGGCCAAGACACUCGGACUCGGGGCCGGGGCAAUCAUCUGAAAAGCUGCUAUGAGUGCGAACUAUUUAUUAAAUGACAUACACGACUCUUGUUUGACAGAGACGCAAGAAUAUAAUGCAGACUAACUCUGGAUCACUG
rnacentral:rRNA from 1 species